rnacentral:rRNA from 1 species
UACGUAGGGUGCAAGCGUUAUCCGGAAUUAUUGGGCGUAAAGAGCUCGUAGGCGGUCUGUCGCGUCUGCUGUGAAAACUGGGGGCUCAACCCCCAGCCUGCAGUGGGUACGGGCAGACUAGAGUGCGGUAGGGGAGAUUGGAACUCCUGGUGUAGCGGUGGAAUGCGCAGAUAUCAGGAGGAACACCGAUGGCGAAGGCAGGUCACUGGGCCGCAACUGACGCUGAGGAGCGAAAGCGUGGGGAGCGAACAGG